rnacentral:tRNA from 2 species
GGGCUGGUAGCUCAGUUUGGCAGAGCGACGGACUCUUAAUCCGUCGGUCGCGUGUUCAAAUCGCGUCCAGCCCG